UCUCCAGCUGUUUUCAGACUACAGUUCCCAUCAUCCCUGACCACUGCCUUGCUAGCUAGGGAUGAUGCGAGUUGUAGUCUAAAAACAGCUGAAGA